rnacentral:rRNA from 1 species
AUUAUAAUUUAUAAGUUAAAUUAAUUUUUUUAUUGGUUUUUGUGCCUUUUGCAUCAUGCUUGAUGGAUUUAGUAAAUUAUUUUAUUAAUCGAAUAAUUCAGAUCUUAUUAUUAGUAGUUGAGAAUGGUUAUUUAAUCUAGGUAAGGUUAUUAAAAUUGAUAUUAAGAAGUGAUAAAUUAUACGUUGAAUUUUAUAUCUAUUUAGCUAUAUAAUAAUAAAUUGUUAUAUAAUAGGUUAAGAGAUCUAUUAUUAGGUUAUACAAUAUUUAUUAAAUUUUUGUAAAAUUAGGUUAAAAGUACCUAUUUUUUAUAAGUUUGUUAAAAAUUUAAUUGUUUUGUGUUUAUGUUAAAUAAUAUAAUAGCUUAUAAUAAUAAUAAUUAGUUACUUAUAUAUCAUCAAAUAAGUAAUAUCAUUACACAAAUUAUUUCUCGAAUCUUUUCCGUCUGUUUAUUAAAAACAUUUCCAAUUUUAAGUUUAGUUGGUAGUGCCUGCCCAAUGUUUUUAUUAAUGGCCGCAGUAUAUUGACUGUGCGAAGGUAGCAUAAUUAAUUGCCUUUUAAUUGGGGGCUUGUUUGAAUGGUUUGACGUGAUAAGUUUUAAUAUUUGGUGUUUUUAUGAAAUUAGUUUUGAGGGUUCAGAAUCCUCAUUUUUUUAAUUAGACGGAAAGACCCUGGGAUCUUUAUUUUUUGCUUGGGGUAAGUUUUAUUUUUUUAAUAAAAUUUAGACCCUAUAGUGUUGGUUUAGUGGGUUAAGUUACCCCAGGGAUAACAGUGUAAUAAUUAAUAAGAGAUCAUAUCGAAUUGAUUGUUUGCCACCUCGAUGUUGACUUAGGUUUUGGCCCUGGUGCAGUAAUUUGGGUUUGUGGUCUGUUCGACCUUAAAAUCUCCAUGAGUUGAGUUAAGACCGGCGUAAGCCAGGUCGGUUCUUAUCUAUUAUAGAAAUUUAUCAGUACGAAAGGACAGUAAAUUUUUUUGUU